ACCACUGGUUGGAGAGGGAGAGAUAGAGGUUUUGGAAUCCAUCAUGCCCUCCCUGGAUAUCAGUAAGGACGAAAACCCAGAUUCACCAGAUGAAGAGGCAGUGAAUGAUUUGAGGAAUAUCUAAAUUGCCAUGGAUGAUUUUUGGGCUCAUCCGAAUAAUUUGGGCUUGGAAGAUGAGGACAGCUCCGAUGAGGAUUUUGUCCCAUCUCUUAAUUUGAGGUAAAUGUCCUUGUUGGUAGUGUAGUGGUACGAGGCACCACUGCCAUGUGGAACACGGUCUUCUGCUUCACCGCGCCCUCUCUGGCUUAUUAGCCAAUCAUUGUUCAUGUCGAGGGAUAAAAGUAGGCCGUGUCCCUCCUCCUGAUCUCUCGCUUCCUGCCUUUUCGGUCCACCUACUCCCGGGCCGU